AUUUUCUUUUUGGAUGUUCAUUGCUAGUGUGUAGAAAUACAACAGAUUUUUGCCUGUUGAUUUUAUAUCUUGAAACUGCUGAAUUUAUUGAUUUGCACUAACAGUUUUUAAGAAAAUGGAUUCUUUAGGAUUUUAGAGCUAGAAGAUUUUGUCAUUUGUAAACAGAGAUAAUUUUACUUCUUUCUUUUGAUUUGGACACUUUUUUUUUCUUGCCUAAUUGCCCUGGCUCUAAUUUCCAGUACUGUAAUGAAUAGAAGUAGUGAAGUGAAUACUCUUGUCUUAUUUCCGAUCUUAGGGGAAGAGCUUUCAGUUUUUAACCAUUGAGUAUGUUUGUGGGUUUUUCAUAAAUGGCCUUUUUCAUUUGGAGUAAGUUCCUUUCUAUUCUUAGUUUGUUGAAUGUUUUUGUAUCAUAAAGGGGUAUUUCAUCAGUUGAGAUGAUCAUGUAGUUUGAUGUACUCCUUAACCCAUUGUCAUGCCUCACCUUCUUUGCACUCAGCCCAUAACCUUGAAACACUGACUAAUCAGAAUUAGAUGUUGUAGUCUGUAUGCUAAAGCACUAAUAUAAAUUUAUAACACUUGUGUCUUCAUAAUCUUUUCUUUCUUCCUUGAUUUGAACAACUGGAGGGUGGAGGUUCCAUCUUAUACACUUUCCAUGGGACUUAGCACAAUGCCUGACACAGGAUGGUGCUCAAGAAAAGUUUCAAUGAUGGAAAAAUAAAAGGAGAGAGUGGAUUAUUGGUGAUAAAUAAAUUUUGACUUGGACAAGUGAGAUGGAUGGUGGUGAAAUACACUAACGUGAAGACAACUGAGGGAAGAUUAGAUUUAUGAAGCAGGGAGAGAAAGCCAAGAUUCCCUUUGACCUUGUGAAGUGUGCUGGCUAGAACAGAUGGAUUCCCAGGCGAUGUCUUGUCGGAUGAUCCUGACUGAGGGUGGCCGCAGUUUGAAGGGGUGGGACUUGUCUUCAGCAAUGAAUUCCCAAGGGACUGCUUCCAAUCAGGGAAUGCUGUCGCAGACAAUGAAACCAUUCUCCAUUUGUUGACCCUAGUUUUGUAAGUACGAUCUGCUGUGGGUGUAUUCAAGCAUCAGUGGAGGGACUGACAUAUAUUUCACUGAAGUUUAUAGCAUGCAGGAUAUUUUGAAAUAAGGAUUACAUGAAAAUGAG
ensembl:lncRNA